GGUGGCGUAGCUUAGUGGCAAAGCACCGGCCUGUCGAGUCGGGGAUCGGGGGUUCAAAUCCCCUCGCCAUCGCCA
rnacentral:tRNA from 1 species